AUUUUGAUUUAAUCGCUAUAUUUGAAAAAUAAUAUAGAGGAAACUCCACGCUUGCACGACCUGUGAUGGUUGUAAUGAUUAUGCUAACUGAAAAAAUAAGGUUAGGCUGACUUUGGAGAAAAGUUAGACGGCAAAACUUAAUCUAAGGUAAUUUAUUGCUAUGAUGAUGUUUUUGAAAGUGCCAUAGAGACGAGAAAAAGGGAAACCUUUGAGAUGGAACGCGGUAAACCCCAUAAGCAAGAAACUCAAAUUUUGGUAGAGGAGUCGUUUCAAGGUAAUCAGAACUGAGAAACGGACAGUAUUUAUACUGUAGAUAGAUGGUUAAAACUAAACUUUUGUUUAGAACAGAACGUGGGUUAUGAUA
rnacentral:RNase_P_RNA from 1 species